GCAACAAUUUUUAUUGUUUUUUUUUUCAAUUUUUAAUUUUUUAUUAACAUCUGUCACCAAUUAAAUUCCCUGUCAAAAGGUCAUGGUUGAAUUUAUCCAUAAUUUGACCAUUUUACGGUAAAAAAACGGGCGGGUUACCGAUUUUUUUACCUCUUCCUCAUUUUAUUAGGUUAUUAUGAGUUGGAAUGUAAUAUGAGCUGUUAAAGAAAUCAUGAGGAAAAACAUGUGCGAAUUAGCCACCAGCGAACCGACGCUCAAGUUAGAUUCAAACAGAUAUUCUGAUAAUCCUCACGCGGAAGGUGGAUCUCCGCAACCUGAGCCAGAAUCUUGCGAGAGUUUUUUACGUCCCUCCCCGGACGUAACUCCUUCAGUUGUAACUGAAGAUGUCGUUCAAAAGAGAUUAUUUGGACAUGCUUUUAUACAAAGUCUACGUGUAAUUUUUACGAGUUUUAGAGUUUGUUUUUGAAGUUGUCACAAAUAAAUGGGUUUGGAACGUCUUAUUAAUUACUCUUUAUGUGCUUUUUGAUGUUUUCUUUCAUUUGGUGUUAGCCGCGUCGGCUAUCAUGGUGACUAUUAUCAUAAAUAUGGACAAUGUUUAUAGGAAGGGUGAUGAUGAUGAUGAGGAUGAGGGUGAUUCUAAUACUACCAGCUUUACAGACGUGAAUGGGAUGUAUGAAAAUGAAACUAAAUCUUGUAAAAAGAAAAAAUAACACAAUUGGGAGAUCUUUUGUAUAGGUUUUAUUUAUUUAUUAAUAUGCAAUGUAAUUUGUGAGAUGGAGAAUUAAUAAAGAUGUCAAAAUUAAAAAUAAAA